rnacentral:rRNA from 1 species
GACGAACGCUGGCGGCGCGCCUAACACAUGCAAGUCGAACGAGCGAGAGAGAGCUUACUUUCUCGAGCGAGUGGCGAACGGGUGAGUAACGCGUGAGGAACCUGCCUCAAAGAGGGGGACAACAGUUGGAAACGACUGCUAAUACCGCAUAAGCCCACAGGUCGGCAUCGACCAGAGGGAAAAGGAGCAAUCCGCUUUGAGAUGGCCUCGCGUCCGAUUAGCUAGUUGGUGAGGUAAUGGCCCACCAAGGCGACGAUCGGUAGCCGGACUGAGAGGUUGAACGGCCACAUUGGGACUGAGACACGGCCCAGACUCCUACGGGAGGCAGCAGUGGGGAAUAUUGCACAAUGGGGGAAACCCUGAUGCAGCGACGCCGCGUGGAGGAGGAAGGUCUUCGGAUUGUAAACUCCUGUUGUUGAGGAAGAUAAUGACGGUACUCAACAAGGAAGUG